GAACAAUGACCGGGUAACCUCAGUGAGAGCAUGCUGCAGGAGAAUGUUCUAAGAGUAAAUUUGCACUCUGAUGAUUGCAGUGGGGUGGCACGGAGACAGGAGACUGCAGGCAUCAAAAAUUAGUCAUCUACCCGAACAGCUGGAAUGGGUGAACGCUUUUGCACGCGUAGUAUAUGUAAAGCUGACUGAAAUAAAAAGAAGCAGGCAGCGUGGGAAACGUGAGCGACCUGGUGUGCUGCACGACGAAGCCGAAUGGCCUGCGGCAAAAUAGAUGGACAGGUGGGGAGACUGCCGGGCGCAGGUGGGGCAUUCGCCCUCGCCCUCGAGGCAGACUCUGGCGUAACCUGCUGCUCCACAGAGAUGCCUCGGAUUCCUGACAACUGCACUUUCUCAGCCCCAUCCGGUGGGCGCUGGCCGACCCCGCCCGGCAGAAGGGACGUGCGUAUUGGCACGGCGCCCGGCAGCCCCCGCGGUCCCUGAGUCGCUUGGAUCUGCCUCCCCAGCUCGCUGACUCAUUCGCGCAUCCUGCAGUGUUCCGCUCCUUC
rnacentral:lncRNA from 1 species